ACUUUAUAUCAAAUACAAUAACACUGCUUUAUCACUCACAUUACUUUAUAUCCCUAUUCAAAGUGAUACAAAAGACUAGUACGGUGAGUUUGUUUUACGCUCGUCCUCCUGCUCCUCGUCUGUUCUACAGUGCAACACCGAAAUAUAUUCCACCAUGGGUUCUUCAUCAAGCUCCACCCCGACACGUCCAAUCAACGAUCUGCUCUCAAAUAUACACAAUCUUAUGCCUAUGAAGUUGAAGGAAGAUUCCAACUUUGAUGUCUGGGAAUAUCAGAUGACCGCCAUACUCGGAGCUUACGAUCUCAUGGGUUACGUCAAUGGCUCGCUCUUACAGUCCGACAUGUUUUAGAUUGCAGACGAGGCAAUAUGGCUCAGGGAGGAUCAAGCAGUGAUGGCGGCGAUCAAUUCUACACUCUCGCCUUGGGCACUCGAGCAGGUCUGCUACUGCACUACAUCCCGGCUACUAUGGAUUGAACUGCAUGGUUUGAGUUUUUCAAACUAAUUAUAGUUGGAAGGAAAAUCUUCAUGGUUGUUUCAAGUGCAUUUGCUUCGUUUUUCCUUUUCCUUUUCUUUUGAUGCAAGCGAUAUUCUAGUUGCUACUUCUUAUGUACACCGGACUGCGGAGUAGUGAUUAUUUCAUAAAUAAUCUGAUGGCACGAAUAUCACAAAUAGGUUUUAGACUCCUUGGAGUGCUAAUGUCCUGUAAUUACAACGUUUACA